GACGAACGCUGGCGGCGUGCCUAAUACAUGCAAGUCGAGCGGAAGUUGGAGAGCUUGCUCUUCAACUUUAGCGGCGGACGGGUGAGUAACACGUGGGCAACCUGCCCUGCAGAUCGGGAUAACUCCGGGAAACCGGUGCUAAUACCGAAUAGUUUUCGCCACCUCCUGGUGGCGUACGGAAAGACGGUUUCGGCUGUCGCUGCAGGAUGGGCCCGCGGCGCAUUAGGUAGUUGGUGGGGUAACGGCCCACAAAGGCGACGAUGGGUAGCCGACCUGAGAGGGGGAUCGGCCACAGUGGGACUGGGACCCAGCCCAGGCACUUACGGGAGGCAGAAGUAGGAAGUCUUCCGCAAUGGCCGAAAGAGUGAGGGAGCAACGCCGCGCGAGUGGCGAAGGUUUUCGGAUCGUAAAACUCUGUUGUGAGGGAAGAACAAGUACCAACUAACUACUGGUACCUAGACGGUACCUCACCAGAAAGCCACGACUAACUACGUGCCAGCCGCCGCCGUAACAC
rnacentral:rRNA from 1 species